UGAUCCUUAUGCAAUACAAAUCAUGUGUUUUUCAGACUGAAUGCACUCCCUUUAUUCACCUUUUCAGAGAGUAUCGGCCAGAAUACGAGCGCCUGAGAAAAACACUGAAUCCACAGGUAAAUCUUUGUCUACGGGAGAAAGCUCAAAAUAAACAAAAGAGAGAGCAGCUGGAACACUUGUGGAAGGACAUGGGCAGCGUGUGUGUGCAGGGCAGCACACUGGCAGGUACCUCCCCAGGAAGAUAAAGUUUACUGCAGAAGUUUUCUGAAGAGUUUGCCUUGUGAAGUAGUACAGUGCUUCUUUGUCCUCACAGCAGAAAUGUGAAAGCAGCUCCAUGUUAGAGGAGCGGGGCUUUAGUUCCUGUGGGGUUGGUCACACUUAGCUCUUCCUGUGUCAGUCACAGGUUUGGAAGAAACCCCGCUGUGUAGCUAAAGCAGUGGACCUACUAGAAAUAAUGAAAUACUUUAGAAAAGGCGAAACAGUCAGAUCAGAAUAUGAGAAAGCUCUGCUGUUGGCUGCACUGUUCCUUAGAUGAGGCGAGUAGGUGCUGAUGGAGUCUGUCCUGUGUCUGGGAUCCACAAGCAGCUUUCUGUCCCCUUAGAGCAGGUGUUCAUUGCUGGGUUUCUGUGCAGAUAGAAACCUUACCUUUAGCAAGCUGCUGUGCUGUGUGUGUGCCUGCAGAAUUGCCACGAGAGGAAAUACUUCAGAGGGGCUUCCCUCCAGAUAAGCCCUGAAUGUGCCAGGAGGUUUCAGCCGGGAGAAAGGAGCUGUGGAAGAAAAGCAGCCUAAAAAUAGCCAGCGGGGAUCAUCAGGUUUUCCAGGCAAGAAGAACAAGGAGAGAGAUGAGGGAAUCGGGUUCCAAUUCCUAAUGAUUUGGUGGGUGCAGGAAUGAUUUGUGUGUGUUUUCCAGUCCCUUUUGAUUCCUGAGAUGAUUUUAAAAUGAUGGCUUUAGCAAUCAACUAAAUCGGAGGUGUUGUUUUUGAGAGGAAAUGAUGCCAAAUAAAUGCAGAGUUUUGGGUCAGUU